GCAGGGCUGGGCACAGGGGCCCUCCUGAGGCUCUGCCAAAGCAGCAGCAGCCCUGGGUCAUGCUUGGAAAAAGGAACCUUCCCCAAGUGCUCUGCAAUUUGUCAGCGUUUCUGCUUGUACAUUUGCUGUGCUGUUUGCAUUUGGGGAUUACUGACUGGAGACUUGCCAUGUGCCAGAAUGUAAUUCCUGGGAUUGUAAGAAAGGAGGAGCUGCUGCUGAGGAGGAGCCUGAGCCUUUCCCUGCUGCGGUCCCUGCCCGGAGUGGCUCCUCUGCCGAGGCA